UCCUUUAUCUCACCGUUAGGGAACUCUUCCC
rnacentral:piRNA from 1 species